rnacentral:tRNA from 1 species
GUAUAUAUAUUAUAAAGAUAUUAUAUUUAUUUUGCAUAUAAAAGAUUUAAAUAUACG